CCUACGGGUGGCAGCAGUGGGGAAUAUUGCACAAUGGGCGGAACCCUGAUGCAGCGACGCCGCGUGGGUGAGGAAGUACUUCGGAACGUAAAGCCCUAUCAGCAGGGAAGAAAAUGAGGGUAACUGACUAAGAAGCCCCGGCUAACUACGAGCCAGCAGCCGCGGUAAUACGUAGGGGGCAAGCGUUAUCCGGAUGUACUGGGGGAAAAGGGAGCGUAGACGGCGUGCCAAGUCUGAUGUGAAAGGCGGCGGCUUAACCCGGGGACUGCAUUGGAAACUGGGAUGCUGGAGUGCCGGAGGGGAGAGUGGAAUUCCUAGUGUAGCGGUGAAAUGCGUAGAUAUUAGGAGGAACACCGGUGGCGAAGGCGGCUUGCUGGACUGUAACUGACGUUGAGGCUCGAAAGCGUGGGGAGCAAACAGGAUUAGAUACCCUAGUAGUC
rnacentral:rRNA from 1 species